AUGGUAACCCAGUAGCCCAAAAGACAAAGUCCUUCUCAACAAAGCCUAACCAGCAGGAAAUGGAUUACAGUGAUUCAGAGGAAAGAUAAGAAGGUUCCUUUGUCUUGGACCUCCAUUAGACAUCAAGGAAAAACACCAAAAAAGUAAACAACAAAGGCCCCACACCUUUCCAAACUACAACCCAAAAUAAGUUGAUCUGAGAAACAAAUUGCAAUGCCACAUGCAAAGCAGAUGUGUCCAAAUUCAUGUAGGACCAGACACAUCCUGAACCUUUAAAUGCAACAGCUGUUCAAGACUUUCUUCAAAAUCAUCCAAGCACAAGGGUUGAUAAAAUGCACACAAAAUGGGUAUUUGACACCCUGGAUUCCAUGCAGGUUUGGCAGUAACCAGGGAGAAUUAGAACCCGAAGCUAGAUUUCGAAAUAGAGCUCUGGACUGAAGCAUUCUUGCACAACCAUCCCACAGACGCCUUCCGGUCUUGCUCC
rnacentral:antisense_RNA from 1 species